UUGAAGCUUCGAGCCAUGACAGAUCUUUUCUGUUUUAUUUUUCAAAGAGAAAAUAUUGAAUUUGGUUGUGAGCACUGAAGUUUUAUUUUGGAAAAGGAUCCAGAUCUGACAUUUUCAUUCAGGCCGCAGUGUAGCAGGAAGCGUUGCUCUUAAUGCUGGCAGAACUCUCACAGUCUGUUUUCUUUCAGUUGCCAGGUUUGUCCCACAGUCCCAAUAUAGCCAGACUUUGGUCACCGACUGAGUGUUUGUCUUUCUCAGUUUCUGCUCGCUCACAGUGCCCGAGAUAAUCUUCCUCUUAGUAUUUGUUUAGUGAUAAACAGCACAGAGAUCUCGUGGUGGAUGUCCAGGGGUUGAUGUUUUUUUUCCGUCUUUGGCAGAAGUUUGGUGGGUCCAGAUUGCGUUAGGGUUGUGCAACUGUUGGAGGAGUUGAGGCUCAUUCCCAGCUGGCUUGUUGGACUUUUCUCUGUUUGGCAACAUAGAUCUUUGUAGGGAUCUUGGGCUUAAGCUCUCAUGCGGUGUUGGAAUAAAACAGAGAAGUUUUAAGUUUUUACAGUGUCCCUGUGGGGCUGAUUGAGUCAACCUGACCCAGAAUUUUGGCAAUGGUUUUCUUUAUCACUCUGGAGAAGCUCCAACAGAGAGGAGCCGUUGUAGACUCAAGUAACUCACGGUGAAGAGGGGAUGUAACUCCUCGACAACAAUCGAAAAACUCAUGUUUUUCUUGAGUUAAUUUGCAUUUCAAAGCAUUUAGUCUUGUUGCUUUGGUUUGUCCAUGUAUAACGAAAAAGGGGUGACUUACUGAAAAAAACAAGUAUGCCUUUAAUUCAAUUAUACAAUUAAAACACCAUUUAAAGUCCCACUCCAAUCAUCUUUACUACUUAAAGUGUUCUCAGUGGUCCUUAAAUUUUGAUUAUGAGGUUUUUAGCCCAAAUCACAUUAUGUGUUAUUUUCAACAGCUUUUCUUCUGCAAAGCUCCAGUAGCUCAUGAGCAAUUCGCCUCUGAGUCGUGGGUGGAGACAGCGCUGCUCUGCACACUCCGCGUCAUGCUAGCUUGUAGCCUAACAUUGCCGAUGUAUUAGAAGUGGCAGGUAACAUUGGAGUUAUUCAGCUCUCAGACACUAAUGUGUUCAGGGACGCGAUGAAAGUUAAUAUCAUAAUCAUUAGCUUUCUUACAAGCAUUGCAAUCCGCUAACGCACACACUUGUUCCGCGAUUGUCCUCUAUUUUUCCGAGUACGGCCUGCAUAGCGGGGCUCCAGGGGCGGAGCUUGGAUUUGCUACGUAGGAAAUCUCACUGAAUCUGAAACUGCUGUUUGGGAUUGUGAGAGAUUCACAGCGAUUUAAAUGCAGAAAUAGUCAAAAAUGCAACUUGGCACUUAUUUUCUCAUGAUAUGUUCUGCAGGAAUUCCUUCGCCUUUGAUUUGCUAGAAGUGCUGGGCUCCAAUUGGUUAUUCCUAAUGGCUGUGAAACGUCAUUGUCUGUCGGGUUAGGGUUACAGUUAGAAUUAGGAUGAGGGUUAGGGUUAGGAGAUUCCGAUGUGCGGUAAUGUUCUGUAAUGUUCUGUUCGAUGUACAGAGCCGACAGCCUGCAUUUGGCUUGAGCGUCCUAUAGCAUCAGAUAUGAACAUGUAGACAACAAGAAAAACAUGAUUCUCACCGGAGUGGGUCUUUAAAAGGUUCAAAACAAACAAAACAAAAUUAGAUAAGAUACUCCUUUAUUAGUCCCACAAGAGAAAAUCUGUUGUAUUUUCCCAAUGCAUGAUUAGGUUCAGUUCAAAAACCUCAAUCCUGGCCUUGAGAUAUUGCAAUGGAUGCUUAGAUGGUGCACCUUUACCCUUCUUCACUGUAACCAUCAUUUACUCCUCUAAAUAAACUCCCCGAUCUGAGUGAUAUGUGCUCUGAACAUCAUACAAUAACAGCAACACUAGAGAGAAUAAAUAGUGGAGUCAAAAGUACAAAGUAAGAAGUUUCCCCCUGAACCAAAAUACUCAAGCAAAGCAGAGAUACUCCAGAAAUACAUUUGAGUCAUAGAGUGCCUGGAAAGCAGUAUUUUGCUGCUUUUUCUGACUGAAAUUCAAAAGAGUCAUUUUUGGCCAUGUCCAUUACUAGAGUAGUUGCUUAGAGGUAGGGGGCCCUUCUCACCUCUUUCUUAAGGUGAACGACAAGGACAAAAUCCCCACGCUCCCAUGGAAACAGGAAUUUCACUCAUCCAUUCUUGCAUGUGACAUAGAUUAUGAUCAGUUGACAUAUCUUGAUAACGCAGUUUACUCCUGUGUGGGUUCAUAACAUGGACCUCUGAUACGCAGAGUAUGAAAUGAUGAUCUGAGCAGUAAACUAUAUUACACUUGGUCAGCAAGAAAGCAUCAGUGCAGACUCGCCGUUGGCAGGUUCAACAACCCACUCCCACUCCGCUCACUGAGGUUUAGAGCUGCGGUGUACUCUCUACGCAGAAGCACAAACAGAGAAGAAGUGUGUAAGGGUCAGUUUAGGAGACCCCUUUAGUCUGUUGAUGCUGUAACCACGCCCAGCGGGGGAUGUCACAGGGCCCUGGAGUCCACUGAAACCACCAGAGGACAGCAAAGCCCCCGUGUUCAGGAAGUAUUCAGUAACUCUUAAAGCUGCUCUUAAGUGUUUUUGUUGUUAGGGCCCGAGCGUAGCUGCUAAGCAGCUGCGAGAGCCCUCUUGUUCCUGUAGUUUCCUUCUUUUGUUAUUAUUAUUAGGGCCCGAGCGUAGCUGCUAAGCAGCUGCGAGAGCCCUAUUAUUCCCCAAGUGGUUUUUCUUUGUUUCUUUUUAGGGCCCGAGCGUAGCUGCUAAGCAGCUGCGAGAGCCCUAUUAUUCCCCAAGGGGUUUUUCUUUGUUUCUUUUUUCUUUUUCCUCCCCUUUGAACUGGAAAAUGGCCCACUUCCCACUGGCGAAAACUCAUGAAAUUUGGCAGGACGACCGGGCCUGGUGAAAAAUUCGAUAUUCCGAAGUCGCCCAAACAAGAAAAUGCAAAAUGGCUCCAUAGCGCCCCCUAAGGUGAAAAUUCACACUAUUGAGUGUCACGCCUGUACGCUUUGUCAAAAUGACACAAAAUUUGACACACACAUGUAUCUCAAUAAGAUCUACAAAAAAGUCAGUGCGGGCGUAUCUGUCAAAUGUACGGUUAAAGGGUUAUUUCGCAUUUUUUGCCGAUCCGCACACAUUGGAAUUUCGCUAACUCCUUUGAAGGCUUUCGUUCCACCGGCACCACAUUUGCUCAGGCCAAUCUACACCCCAUGGCCAUUAAAAGUUAUUCAAAUCAUGACGCUGCACCCCACGGUUUAGGUUCUAGGGGGCGCCAAAGAUAACCCUAAAAUCCACAUAUUUAAAAGUCUUAUAACUUUUUAUUUUUGCCCUCACUGGCCUCCAAGUUUUCUAGGAUGAUGCAAUGUCCAGCCAUCAACACAUUUGUGAAGGAAUUUUUACUCCCCAAAAGAGCGCCCCCCCAUGGCAGGAGAAAAAAGUCCAUUUUUUCUUGUCCCCUAAGGUGAAAAUACACAUUGUUGAGUGUCACGCCUGUACGCUUUGUCAAAAUGACACAAAAAUUGACACACACAUGUAUCUCAAUAAGAUCUACAAAAAAGUCCAUGCGCGCGUAUCUGUCAAAUGUACGGUUAAAGGGUUAUUCCGCAUUUUUUGCCGAUUCGCACACAUUGGAAUUUCGCUAACUCCUCUGAAGGCUUUCGUUCCACCGGCACCACAUUUGCUCAGGCCAAUCUACACCCCAUGGCCAUUAAAAGUUAUUCAAAUCAUGACGCUGCACCCCACGGUUUACGUUCUAGGGGGCGCCAAAGAUAACCCAAAAAUCCACAUUUUUAAAAGUCUUAUAACUUUUUAUUUUUGUCCUCACUGGCCUCCAAGUUUUCUAGGAUGAUGCAAUGUCCAGCCAUCAACACAUUUGUGAAGGAAUUUUUACUCCCUAAAAGAGCGCCCCCCCAUGGCAGGAGAAAAAAGUCCAUUUUUUCUUGUCCCCUAAGGUGAAAAUACACAUUGUUGACUGUCACGCCUGUACGCUUUGGCAAAAUGACACAAAAAUUGACAAUCAUGUGUAUCUCAAUUAGAUCUACGAAAAAGUCAAAGAGCGCGUAUCUGUAUAAUGUACGGUAAAAGGGCUAUUUUGCAUUUUUUGCCGAUUCGCACACAUUGGAAUUUCGCUAACUCCUCCUAAGGCUUUCGUCCCACUGACACCAAAUUUGCUCAGGCCAAUCUACACUCCAUGGCCAUUCAAAGUUGUAAAAAUCAUGACGCUGCACCCCACGGUUUACGUUUUAGGGGGCGCCAAAGAUGACCCAAAUAUACAUUACAGUAGACAAAGUAGUUUUGCCCACUGAGUGGCGCCAAAGGGACUUGUCUGUGGAGUCUGUGAGUCACUAUUGGCCGUUUUUGACUACUUUAGAUUUUACCUUUAUAUUUCCUCUUACAAAAUUUUUACCUUGCCUUGCCUGGUAUCAUUUUUUUCAGCACAACCUCACCUGUGUCAAUUUACAGUUAUUUUAUCAUUUUGACAUACUAUAUUUACACAUUGGACCCAAAUUCACACACAAAACAUAAAAUCCGAGUGGAAAAAAGUAACGUUUUUACUGUGAAAACCACAAAUAUGUGUGAUGAACUGUUUUUAAAACUUAAACUUCAAAUAAAAAUUGUAAACUUCAAAACAUAUGCAAAUUUUUAACAAAGAACAUAGUAAUUUACCUCUAUUUACAUCAAAAUGCAGGCAAUGGCCCAGGUGUUCUUUGUAAAAUUAUUUACAAAACACUGUAUAGUCUCACAAAUGUCACUUUUUAUUUAUGCCACUACAAAAAAACAUGAUGUAAAUGAUGCAUGAUGUAAAACAUGAUGUAAAAAACUUGUGUAGAUCCUCCUCUAUGUUAGUCCAUGUGUAAUUUUUCCAUAAUUCUUUGUUUUUUGCAGCAUUUUUGUUAGUGUAACUGCAGAUUGUGCUGACAGUGUCUAUGGCAAAAAAAAAAAAAAAACUGAAAAUGCCUCAACAUGAACCCCUGGUGGUCUCUGAGGGUGAAACCUGCUAACUGCUGCAGCUCUGUCAGCUUCAGUCUCCCAUGCAGAGCUCGGAGCGCAUGUGUGGCUCUGCACCCUUAGCAGCGUUGCUAACUCCUCAGUAAGGAAAGCCUGCUUCAUGUCAGAGUCUCUAAACUCCAGAAGAAGUCGAUAAAAGUCACUUUCUUUCUAAAAAAAAAGUCGUUAGGGGGUCUGAAAAGUCAUUGAAUCUAACAACAAAGUCGCUAGGUUUGCAACUACGUGUCCCAGACUGCAUCCCUGCUGAGAGUCCCUCCCUCCCUUCUCAUAUUGCAGGAAGAACGUAAGCGCCCGCCCCUUGUCAAUCAGUCACCAUAUAAUUUUGGAUUGGUUGUUGUGGUGAAGUUUUCCACCAAUAGGAGAGAUGUUGUGGUGUGUUUUUUUUUUCCUUUGGCAAGCCUUUUCCGCCUGUAAGACCUGUCGCUAAUGUCUGCAUGCUAUGUUUUCCUGUCUCAUACAGCGCAAUCGAGCGCCGAACGUGAUCAAAAUAAGCAGAAAACAAGUAUCGCGGACAUAAUUUAUCAUAACUCUGGUUUUAUUUGGCCUAUCAACACAAUUUAAAAACUGGUAUAUAGGUUGAGGUCCUCACUUUUGAGAUAAGUUGAAACGGAGUCAACGAGGCUCCGUCUUGCAGCUACAUCCGGUUAAAUAUGUCAUGUGACUUGAACGCACACACACACACACACACACACACACACAGACACACACACACACACACACGCACACACACACACACUCAGAGUCUGGUUUUUAGCACCUGCAAAAACAUGCUAUUUACAUAUUUGACAAGAAUGCAGAGGCUCCUUUUGCCCCUGAAAAAAAUCAAAUUUCAAACACAACUUGACUGGUCAUUUCUCCAAAAGACAACCAUGAAGCUCCAUCCAAACCUGAAGCAGGCAGUUGGUGCAUGUGUACAGUAACCUGAGGGGAGUGAGGUGACUGCUUCUGAGGAGAACAUGAGCAGUGAAGAUUCACCUUAGAGCUAGAACAGAGACGUGCACAUGAUUAUACAGGGGCAGGGGCUCAAGUUUUUUCCAGUUGUUUAUACAAUAUGGAAAUUAAUGUGAAAUUAAAAAACAAAGUAUUAAUAGAAAGGUAAUGACUGUCCUGAGUAGGUGACAGUGAUAUCCAAUAGGCUAGGCACUCAAGAGGCUGGCUGUGGCAAGUGUAAGUGAAAGCAACACGCACUGGCAGGAAGAACAGCAAACGCCGAUGAAGGAAAAGGGUCUUUGCAGUGAUGGGCGUUACCAGAGAGGGCGAUGGCCAGAGGACACAAAUGGGACGGGGAGGCAGCGCGUUGGGGGGGGACGCGA